GACGAGGGCGCAAGCGUUGUCCGGAUUAUUGGGCGUAAAGAGCUCGUAGGCGGCUCGUUGCGUCGGCUGUGAAAACCCGCAGCUCAACUGUGGGCUUGCAGCCGAUACGGGCGGGCUGGAGUUCGGUAGGGGAGACUGGAAUUCCUGGUGUAGCGGUGAAAAUGCGCGAUAUCAGGAGGAACACCGGUGGCGAAAGGCGGGUCUCUGGGCCGAUACUGACGUGAGGAGCGAAAGCGUGGGGGAGCGAACAGG
rnacentral:rRNA from 1 species